GUUUACUUUAGCAGCCUUAGAAUACCUUCCUCAUUUCAUCUGAUCCUGUCAUGGAUUUCCUUUCUUGGAAAUUAUUCCAAAGAUUGGUUUACUUCAUCUGUGGUAUCAAACGUUGGUGGCUAACUUGCUGUGCUCCUUCUGAGGUAGCCCCGAAGAACACUGGAGACGGUGGAUAACGUUCCAAGAUGUUUUCUUUUGGAGACAACUAUACUGAAUUUCAUUGAAAGGAAAUUUGUAGUAAGAAGAAACAAAUUUCUCACAUUUCCAAAUUCCAAUAAGCAGUUUGGGCUUAAGUUUAAUUCUUUCUGUAUUUAUGUUUCUGAAAUUAAAAAUAUAUGAAUUCAAAUAAAAAAUAUCUUUUGGUGUUCACUAUGGAGAACAUUUGGUAUUUGGUAUUCAUAAAAAUAUAAUUAUUUUCACUUGAGCAACAAAUGACUAAUUAUUGAGUGUUUG